AAGUCGUAACAAGGUUUCCGUAGGUGAACCUGCGGAAGGAUCAUUACCAAAAUACCCCCUUACUACCUAGACCACUUGUGAACCGAGUCAAUGUCCUUGGGGGAGUUUGGAAACGCGUGUGAUAACGAAGACAGAUUAGUCUGUCUUUCAUUCUCUCCACCUGUUUCCUCUCCCCCGGCGGGGUGCUGCCUGCCAUUCGUGGUGGGCUGUACUCUUGCAAAACUAAUAAACCACAUGUCAGCAGUUUAAACUGGAUGUAUUGUAUACCUUUCUCUUUUUGAGAAAUCAAGAAGAAAUGACAACUUUUAACGGUGGAUCUCUUGGCUCGU
rnacentral:misc_RNA from 1 species